rnacentral:rRNA from 1 species
CUUGAGCUUAGAGUUUGAUCCUGGCUCAGGACGAACGCUGGCGGCGUGCCUAAUGCAUGCAAGUCGAACGCAGCAGGCGUGCCUGGCUGCGUGGCGAACGGCUGAGGAACACGUGGGUGACCUGCCCCAGAGUGGGGGAUACCCCGUCGAAAGACGGGACAAUCCCGCAUACGCUCUUUGGAGGAAAGCCAUACGGCGCUCUGGGAGGGGCCUGCGGCCCAUCAGGUAGUUGGUGUGGUAACGGCGCACCAAGCCAAUGACGGGUACCCGGUCUGAGAGGACGACCGGGCAGACUGGGACUGAGACACGGUCCAGACUCCUACGGGAGGCAGCAGUGGGGAAUUUUCCGCAAUGGGCGAAAGCCUGACGGAGCAAUACCGCGUGAGGGAGGAAGGCUCUUGGGUUGUAAACCUCUUUUCUCAAGGAAGAAGUUCUGACGGUACUUGAGGAAUCAGCAUCGGCUAACUCCGUGCCAGCAGCCGCGGUAAUACGGAGGAUGCAAGCGUUAUCCGGAAUGAUUGGGCGUAAAGCGUCCGCAGGUGGUUGUGUGUGUCUAUUGUCAAAGCAUCAUGCUUAACAUGAUAAAGGCAGUAGAAACUACACGACUAGAGUGCGUUCGGGGCAGAGGGAAUUCCUGGUGUAGCGGUGAAAUGCGUAGAGAUCAGGAAGAACACCGGUGGCAAAAGCGCUCUGCUAGGCCGCAACUGACACUGAGGGACGAAAGCUAGGGGAGCGAAUGGGAUUAGAUACCCCAGUAGUCCUAGCCGUAAACGAUGGAUACUAGGCGUUGAGAGUAUCGACCCUCUCAGUGCCGUAGCUAACGCGUUAAGUAUCCCGCCUGGGGAGUACGCACGCAAGUGUGAAACUCAAAGGAAUUGACGGGGGCCCGCACAAGCGGUGGAGUAUGUGGUUUAAUUCGAUGCAACGCGAAGAACCUUACCAGGGCUUGACAUGUCUGGAACUUCGGUGAAAGCUGAAGGUGCCUUCGGGAGCCAGAACACAGGUGGUGCAUGGCUGUCGUCAGCUCGCGUCGUGAGAUGUUGGGUUAAGUCCCGCAACGAGCGCAACCCUCGUUCUUAGUUGCCAGCAUUUCGGAUGGGCACUCUAGGGAGACUGCCGGUGACUAACCGGAGGAAGGUGGGGAUGACGUCGAGUCAGCAUGCCCCUCACGUCCUGGGCUACACACGUACUACAAUGCUCGAGACAAAGGGCAGCAAGUAUG